AGACCUGACAUGUGUCCCAAGCUGUUUCUGCAGGAAGCAGACCCCCAUCUGAUGAAAACUGCUAAGGACAAGCCCGUGGACCCCAGCCUUGUUGAAAUCAGAUGGUUGAUGAUGCUUGAAACUUCACCUCAAUGCCAACCAGUCAGACAGCUGAGCACAAGAUUGAGAGCAUGCCAUUCUUGAGGAACUGGGAGAGUCUGGCUGAAAGACACUUCUAGACCCACUGGCUUCCUUAAGGACCUCGAGAUGUUUGUACCCUCUCAGACCGCCACAUGGACCCCCAGGGCUCCUGGAGGACCAUUCUCAGGAGAGGAUCUUGGAGUUAGAGUGGGAGGAAAGAGGGAUCCUAUGACCCUACUGUCCUGUUAUUCUUGAGUCUGCUCUUUGGAACCGGGGAACGCCUAGAAGAUGAAAGCCUUCCUCCCACAGAUAAGAGAAAGUGUGGUGGUGUUUUCACCACAUCCGUUCAACGCCUCCUCCCCUCUGGUGGCUUAGCAGUAAAGAAUCCGCCUGCCAAUGCAAGAGACACAAGAGAUGCGGGCUCGAUCCCUGGGCCGGGAAGAUCCCCCGGAGAAGGAGAUGGAAACCCACUCCAGUAAUCUUGCCUGAGAGAUCCCAUGGACAGAGAGCCUGGCAGUCCACGGGGGGAUAAAGAGUCGGACACGACUGAGCGACUAACACACAGCUCUGCUUUGGGAAUGCAACAUGGGUCUGUCCUCCCGUUGUGUGGUUUUCAAGGGCUGAUGGCUGUUUUCCUGCAGACCUGGGCCCUGCCCGCCUGGUCACUUCCCGUGUGACUGAGCCGCCCCACCCGGGGCCUCUCUCUGGGACAGCCUGAAGCGUGGGGCUGGUGGGAGCCUCACCAGGGAUGCGAUCCUGCCUGGCAGCUGCUGACCUGCGCUUCCGCAGCCCCGAAGGCAAGGGCCCAGCUUUCCGAGAACCCGCAGCAGGAGGGAAAAGCCAGUCCUCUCUUCCGCGGAGUGCCCGUGCCCCUCCUGUGCCAGGAGCAGUACGAAGCUAAGGCCCCUCAUUCUCCCUGGCUCCAAGCUUUCUCUUUCCUUCCUCUCUAGGGAGGGCACCACAGUGGAUUUGCUUGUGUGUGUAUCACCAGCUCUAAGACUGAGCUCUGCAUAAAGAACUGCAUGUCUGGCAGGACGACGGCACAACUGGGUCACCUGGAGAGCCUUAAAAACAUAGCGAUGCCUGGGCCAAACCCAGACAGAUGGGCCUGGAAUCGCAGAGGGCGAAUCGGGCCUCGGAGAUUCUAACAGCUCCUCUGGUGCUUCUGGUUUGCAGCCAAGGUUGAGAUCCUCUUAGCUCCACAUCUGAAACUAGAGACCCAGCCUUUCGUUGACAAGAACUAAUUUAGAAAAAGUUCAGU